UAUAGAGGGGGCAAGCGUUGUUCGGAAUUACUGGGCGUAAAGGGCGCGUAGGCGGCCUGUUAAGUCGAACGUGAAAUCCCCGGGCUCAACCCGGGAACUGCGUCCGAUACUGGCAGGCUUGAAUUCGGGAGAGGGAUGCGGAAUUCCAGGUGUAGCGGUGAAAUGCGUAGAUAUCUGGAGGAACACCGGUGGCGAAGGCGGCAUCCUGGACCGAGAUUGACGCUGAUGCGCGAAAGCCAGGGGAGCAAACGGG
rnacentral:rRNA from 1 species